UGGGGGUCGAGGAUUAUUUUGAGGGAUCGGUGCAUGACAUUGUGGAUAAGAAAAUGGAUGAGCAUACAAUUGUACAUUAUUCAAAGGAUACUGAGGAAGUGGGAUAAAAUAUGUUGGAUUUUGUACAGAGGAGCCUUGUUGUAGGUGAGCAUGUGGAUUUGAUGUGCAAGCUUGGGAUUGACACUGACAAUAUUGCUGAGUUGGACCUCUUGAGCUCUGCUUUUCCC
rnacentral:lncRNA from 1 species